AUACUCUGGAGAUGCACAGUAGCGCAGCGUGAACAGGAAGUAAGAGUGAGCGUGCAGGCUUUGCUUUGAGCCCACUGGGGUGGCGGAGUGACGAGUGGGCUCCACUUUCCUGUUGUAACCUGCCUGGGCUAUCACAACACUUACACGCAACAGUUUACUCCAACGUGAUUCACCUUGAGGUAAGACAAACUUUAUAUAUCUUUUGUUGUUUUUUUUUUUUUUUAGAGGAAUGCAAGAGACAGACCUAUCUUCAUAUCUGGUCCUUGAUUCCAGUGUAGACUCCUGGACAUAGUAAUCCUAUCCUACAGUAGAUGUAACUCUUUGCUACCAAUCGAUUACAUUAAACAUUAUUUUAACUUCUAGUGAGAAUAAAUAAUCAGCAUAAAAAGUAAUCUACCUUCUGAAUUCGACAGUAGUAGUGUCACCAGGCUCUGUAAGGUGAGUGGAUUACAGGAGGAACUUGCGAUAAAACUUUGCGAUAAAAAUACAUUUACGUGUUGGUUUUCAGAUUAAUCAUGCUUGUCAUCGCAUUAACAUUAACAGCUCUGAUAGAACCCCAUAUCUAAUAAAGUGUGAGGAACCUUUACACAUCUCCAACUAUUUUAAAAAUCAUUACUUAAGAUAAGAUAAGAUCAAAUAAGAUAAAACUAUAUUGAUCCCCCAAGGGGGAAAUGAACUUGUUACAGCAGCAGGACCAAAUCAAACUCAAAGUGCAUACCCAGUAACUAAAAAAAGUAAACUUUUAUUUUAAUAAAAAGACAAAGGGCAAAUUGUGCAAGCAGAGGGAAACAUACCAAUAACUAACAUAAUUUAAAACAGACAACAGCAAUCUGAAUAAUAAUAUACAUAAGAACCAAGUGGAAAAUAUAAAAUUAAAUGUAUUACUGUAGGCUAUUAUUGUACAGUCUCACUGCUGAUGGGAGAAAUGACCACAAGGAAGGAACCACAAUUGGCUGAAGUAACUAUUUGUUGCACCUUUAUUUGGAAAACGUCAUGUUGGAUAUUCCCCCAUUCUCAUUUUACCGUGUGUUUGGAUUGUACUGUGCUGUACUGGGCACUGUAAUCCUGAUUAUUAGAAGGGAUUAUUUAGCAAGUUUAACGAUUUAUGCAAAUGUUUCACCUUUCUCACAUAUAUUCCUACUUAUCUCUCUUUCCUCUGUUUUAACUUGUUUCUAUUCAGAAGAAAGAGUGAUGAAAGGACCAGAGCUAAAGGAUUCCACAGGCCGCUUUCGAUUUGCUCAGUCAUGUCUGGGCCUGGCGGGCUGCUUGUGUAUCAGCUAUGCUGUUUGGACGCCUCAUUGGCUGGAUGAGAGGGGCCUGUGGGUGAACGGGAACGAGUCGAGUCCAGACGACAGCUGGACACAGGGACAGGGCAUUGAAGGUCUGGGGGCUCAGAGGGUGUUUUCUGCUCUAUCGUUCAUCAUGGCUGUGAGCUCGGGAGUUCUGUGCCUGGUCUUCGCUUUCUGCUGGACGUCCCGGACCGUGCGCUCUUAUUCCAACACACGCUCUCUACUGAUGGCAGGCCAGGCACUCUACCCCACCAUGCUGCUACUCAUCACACUGGUGCCUACUGGGUUCUUCUUUCUUCUCAGCUGGGCACUCUUCACCAAUCAGCACAUCGCUGAAAUCAGAGUCGACAUCACGCGCCUGGGGUUCUCCUAUUGGACGGGCAUGGUGGGCUGGGCUUUGCUGUUAGCUGUGCUGCCGGUGGUGUUCCUGGUGGAGCAGUUUGUGGUGCCGGACGUGCUGCCGGAGCUGAUGAGGCAGGCCGAGACGUGGUGGAAGGCCCCUGAGGUGGCUUACGCUCGCUCGUUUAGCGAGAGCUUCUACAACCACAGGGGGCCGAAACUUGACAAGGAGUUCAAUAGGUACCUGUCAGUGCCCUGAGAAGGAGUGUAGCGGCACAGGCCUUGUGUCAAAUCCUGCUAUUGACUCAAUACCUGCACCUACUGCUCCUAACAGCCGAACAUAAGGCCUGAGCUCCGGUGGAAGGCUUGCAGAAGCUCGGAAGGUCGCGGAUGUGGAUACUGCACUUUAGCCGAGAGCUGUUGAGGCCUGCCAGAGCCUGAUGAGCAAAGGAAUGGCCUUGAUUUGGGCCUAUGAACUGAUAUUAAAGCCUGCUGAAAAAAUACUAAAUGUUUCCCACUUUCAGAAAGCUGUGUAAACACUACCUGCAUAAUGGCAAGACUACUGUUUACUGUUACUGAUGUACACUGGAUCACUUUCAGGCUGCAUUUAGAAUUUAAUGCAGUACUUAUUUAGAUUUUAUGAACAAUAUGACGACAUCUUAAUACAAUUCUAGACUAAGGAAUGGAGUGAACAAAAUUCAUGUCAGGCAGAGGACGAUCAUCAUGUAUUCAUGUUGUAACAGCUCCCUCGUGUGGUUAUGCCAUGUUACUACAUUGUUCAAGUUACUACUCGGUAUUACAAGUCAAGGUGCUUGUAGUCACAUAUCUCAUAUCUGAUCAGCCCAGGUUGAGCUUGUUUUUGUUUGGCAUGUUGUUGUCAUUACAAAUAAAUAAAAAGGUAAAUAAAUAAAUAACCA
rnacentral:lncRNA from 1 species